rnacentral:rRNA from 1 species
UUCGGUCUGGUGGCGAGUGGCGAACGGGUGAGUAACAUAUCGGAACGUAUCCAAUAAUGGGGGAUAACUAAUCGAAAGGUUGGCUAAUACCGCAUACGCCCUACGGGGGAAAGCAGGGGAUCUUCGGACCUUGCGUUAAUGGAGCGGCUGAUAUCUGAUUAGCUAGUUGGUGAGGUAAAGGCUCACCAAGGCGACGAUCAGUAGCUGGUCUGAGAGGACGACCAGCCACACUGGAACUGAGACACGGUCCAGACUCCUACGGGAGGCAGCAGUGGGGAAUUUUGGACAAUGGGCGCAAGCCUGACCCAGCCAUUCCGCGUGAGUGAAGAAGGCCUUCGGGUUGUAAAGCUCUUUCGCAAGGGAAGAAAACUUACUUUCUAAUAAAGAGUGAGGUUGACGGUACCUUGAUAAGAAGCACCGGCUAACUACGUGCCAGCAGCCGCGGUAAUACGUAGGGUGCGAGCGUUAAUCGGAAUUACUGGGCGUAAAGCGUGCGCAGGCGGCUUUGUAAGU